rnacentral:rRNA from 1 species
GGUGUAGGUGGCUUUGUAAGUCAGGUGUGAAAGCCUAGGGCUCAACCCUAGAAGUGCAUUUGAUACUGCGAAGCUUGAGUGUUGGAGGAGGAUAGUAGAAUUGUUGGUGUAGUGGUAAAAAUACGUAGAUAUCAACAGGAAUACCGGAGGCGAAGGCGGCUAUCUGGCCAAACACUGACACUGAGAUCCGAAAGCGUGGGGAUCAAACA